CCUACGGGUGGCAGCAGUGAGGAAUAUUGGUCAAUGGACGAAAGUCUGAACCAGCCAAGUAGCGUGAAGGAUGAAUGCUCUAUGGAUUGUAAACUUCUUUUAUCUGGGAAUAAAGUGUUGCACGUGUGCGGUUUUGUAUGUACCAUAUGAAUAAGGAUCGGCUAACUCCGUGCCAGCAGCCGCGGUAAUACGGAGGAUCCGAGCGUUAACCGGAUUUAUUGGGUUUAAAGGGUGCGUAGGUGGCUUGUUAAGUCAGUUGUGAAAGUUUGUGGCUCAACCGUAAAAUUGCAGUUGAAACUGGCAGUCUUGAGUACGUUAGAGGUGGGCGGAAUGCGUGGUGUAGCGGUGAAAUGCUUAGAUAUCACGAAGAACUCCGAUUGCGAAGGCAGCUUACUAAGCUGCAACUGACACUGAGGCUCGAAAGUGUGGGUAUCAAACAGGAUUAGAUACCCCGGUAGUC
rnacentral:rRNA from 1 species